rnacentral:rRNA from 1 species
UACGUAGGUCCCGAGCGUUGUCCGGAUUUAUUGGGCGUAAAGCGAGCGCAGGCGGUUAGAUAAGUCUGAAGUGAAAGGCUGGGGCUUAACCAUAGAAUGCUUUGGAAACUGUUUAACUUGAGUGCAGAAGAGGAGAGUGGAAUUCCAUGUGUAGCGGUGAAAUGCGUAGAUAUAUGGAGGAACACCGGUGGCGAAAGCGGCUCUCUGGACUGUAACUGACGCUGAGGCUCGAAAGCGUGGGGAGCGAACAGG